UCUCCGUAGGUGAACCUGCGGAGGGAUCAUUACAGAGUUCAUGCCCUACCGGGUAGAUCUCCCACCCUAUGUUAUUAUUACUUUGUUGCUUUGGCGGGCCGUUAGGCUCCGGCCCGACUACCGGCCCCGGCUGGUAAGCGCCCGCCAGAGAGCCCAAAACCCUGAAUAUUAGUGUCGUCUGAGUACUAUAUAAUAGUUAAAACUUUCAACAACGGAUCUCUUGGUUCUG
rnacentral:misc_RNA from 1 species